rnacentral:lncRNA from 1 species
AUGCAUCUUGAUCAGAUGACAUAUUCCAUCAGGGACACCAGAACCUUUGAGGACAUCAGAGUCAGAGCUGUGUCCAUGAUGACUCAGUGGACUCAGCAGCAUGGCAUGCAUGGUGGGACUCCUCAUGGUCACCCUGUGGAAUUAGAAGAGACAUGGUCUAGAGCACUGGAAGUUCAGCUCCAGGAGGGCGGGGCUUUUUCCAGUUUGUUUGCCGCUCUGCCUGCAAUACCAGGAACAAGGCUUAGCGCAUGUAGGUGGCUUGGUAAAUACUUGUUGAAUGAAUGAACAAAUGAUUGGUUUGCUCUUCUUUGCCCACCAAACAGCCAGGCCUCCCUGCCCUCUGACCUCACUCAGGCCCUAGGCCUAUUCUUCUCAUCCCAGAACCUGGAAAGCUGCUGGGUAUCCUGGGUGGUCUGUAAGUUUUCCAUGGUAGUAUAACCAAACAGUUAUUAGUGCCCACCUCAUAGGUUUAUUUUGAGGAUGCAUAUGUUAAUACAUGCAAAAAGAUUAGAACAAUGCCUGCUACAUACCGAGUCCUCAGUAAAUGUUAACUGUUAUGUUCUUUGGAUUUAUUUAUUUAUUAAGACUUUACUUUUUUUAGAGGAGUUUAAGAUUCACAGCAAAACUGAGGAAAAAGGACAGAGAUUUCCCAUAUGCUCCCCACCUCGACACAUGCAUCACCUCCUCCAUUAUCAACAUCCUCCAUCAGAGUAGUUUAUUUGUUACGAUUGAUGAACCUGCAUUGAUACAAUUUUUACGUUACAGUUUGCAUUACAGUUCACACUUGGUGUUGUUACCUAUUAUUAUUAUUUUUUAAUAAUAAUAUGUUUUAUUUUAGAUUGGUAGGAGGUCUGAGCAAUGGCUUUGUGGUAUAAGUACUUCUUUUAAACUGGCUUUGGAGUGCAAGCACUUCCAUUAAACUUAUGUGAUUUUUUUUAUUGAGCUUAUGAUAGUUUACAACCUUGUGAAAUUUCAGUUGUACAUGUUCCCUAUUAUUUUUUUAAAGUCCAUUGAUAACAAAAAAACAUUCAGAAUUAUUGCUUGAGCAUCUCUAAUGCCAAAAUAGGAAAAAUGUAUUUAUGAACUAAUUGGGCUCCAAAUCAAGGAAAGUGAGAAACGGGUAAGUUUUAGUUAUCUAUUGCAUUAUAACAAAUCUCCCCAAAAUGUAGUGGCUUAAAAUAGCAAUAAUCAUUUAUUGCCUCUCGAAGUCUCUGUGGGUUAGGGUAUGGCUUGGCUGGUGGGUUCUGGCUCAGGGUCUCACAGAGCUUGCAGUCAGACAUUGGUUGGUGUUUAGCUGGAGCUGUUAGACACAACAUCCAUCUGCUUGUGGUCUCUCCAUGGGCUUCCUCAUAACAUGGUGACUGAACUCCAAGACCAACAUAGAGAGAGAAGAGAGAGACAAAGAGAGAGUGAGAGAAUAUGUAUUGCCUAUUCUGACAGCCUCAGAAGCUAUGUUGCACCAUUUCUACUACAUUUUAUUGGUCAGGCAUUUACAAAAAUCCCCUCAAGUUGAGGAAGAGAAAACAAAGAUCCCACAUCUCGAUAAUGGAAUGCUAACAUGACAUCAUAAGAAAAGCACGUGGAAUCAGAUAUAAAUGUAUGUAUUGACGUGACCACUUUUAGACAAUGCACUCUUCCGGAAGAUACGACUCCAGCUGCAGCAGGCAGGCAUGCACACCUGCACAGGCACACAGAAGUACCCUCCAGCCCUGAGUAUAGUGGGGUCGGACCUAACUAGGCCUCAUCAAUUUAGAUUUCAAUUAGCAAAAGAUCAUGGGGGUCCUUCGGAAAUGUUUGCCUGUGGGGCUGAGAAUUGCUAUGUGCACGCGCUUACAAAGCAUUCAUUGAGUUGCAGUCUGACACCAUUUGAAGGGUGUAUAAAGAAUAAGAAGUCUAGGAGUCAAAAUUGAAAGUGCAAAUUGCAAAUGCUUCCCUUCUAGAAUGAUAGGGCUAUAAAUACCAAGGCUGUUUCUGUUAAACAACAAAUGGAAAUGCUCCAGAAUCAAUGAGAGGUGUUAGCACCAGGGAAAAACAGCAUCUUAAAUCCUUACGCUAACAAUUAAAUCAGACACUUCUGAUACUUUAUCUGAGACACUCCUGGCAGUCCUUUAUUCUUCAUGGCAUGAUUCGAAACUCACAGCAGGUGACAAGCAGAUUCUGGAGGAUCAUCAGUUUGGCUUUCUCAGCACUCUCCCCCAACCUAAUUCAAUAUAUCAUAUUCAAGCCAAUUUCAUGUUUUCUGAGAGGAGGCGAUUGGUGAAAAUGAGUGAGUUUCCAGAAAUGUGCGCCACGGCCUCAAGAAGACAAAGAAUUGACCUGCUCAGUAACAGCUGAAUAUUAACACUGUCAGAAAAAAAAAGCCAUUUAUCUCUAAGACCUCAAGGACUGUCUGUUACAGCCCCUGUGAAUCAUGAGAAAUCUCUGUCCGGGAGAGCGUGGAGCCUUCCAGAUCACUCACCUCACCAUAUGAGGUGCCCUUUCAGUUAGAGAAAAAGAUAUUUUUCCUGUGAUCAUUGUAACUGGGCUGUUUUUAUAAGAUGGCUAAGCUGCUAAAUAAAUAGUAAAAUGGAAACA